ensembl:lncRNA
CUCCUCUCUUUCAGUUGAAGGUGAAUAGAAUAAUCCCUCUACUCCUCUUUCAGUUGAAGGAGAAUAGAACGUUCCCUCUACUUCUGUCCUUCAGUUGAAGGAGAAUAGAACGUUCCCUCUACUUCUGUCCUUCAGUUGAAGGAGAAUAGAAUGUUCCCUCUACUUCUGUCCUUCAGUUGAAGGAUAAUAGAAUGUUCCCUCUACUCCUCUUUCAGUUGAAGGAGAAUAGAAUGUUCCCUCUACUCCUCUUUCAGUUGAAGGAUAAUAGAAUGUUCCCUCUACUCCUCUUUCAGUUGAAGGAGAAUAGAAUAAUCCCUCUACUCCUCUUUCAGUUGAAGGAGAAUAGAAUAAUCCCUCUACUCCUCUUUCAGUUGAAGGAGAAUAGAAUGUUCCCUCUACUCCUCUUUCAGUUGAAGGAGAAUAGAAUGUUCCCUCUACUCCUCUUUCAGUUGAAGGAGAAUAGAAUGUUCCCUCUUUCAGUUGAAGUUCCCUCAACUUCUGUCCUUCAGUUGAAGGAGAAUAGAAUGUUCCCUCUACUCCUCUUUCAGUUGAAGGAGAAUAGAAUGUUCCCUCUACUCCUCUUUCAGUUGAAGGAUAAUAGAAUGUUCCCUCUACUCCUCUUUCAGUUGAAGGAGAAUAGAAUAAUCCCUCUACUCCUCUUUCAGUUGAAGGAGAAUAGAAUAAUCCCUCUACUCCUCUUUCAGUUGAAGGGGAAUAGAAUGUUCCGUCUACUUCUGUCCUUCAGUUGAAGGGGAAUGGAACUCUCCUUCUCCCUUUGUUCCAUGGAAGACAAAUUAAAAAGCAGAUUCUCUGUUGUGUCUCCAGCAUCCUGUCUUUCUUGCCCUCCACUCCUCUGACUUAAGAGAGCAGAUCCUAAACUGUCCAUCUCUCCUCUUCCUACGCAACCGUUCUUCUAGGUUUUGUCCCAAAAGGCACCCUGUUCCCUUUACAGUGGCUAGCCUCUUCGCUCCGGGAGACCUGUAACUUUACACACUGAUCUCGCGUACGCCGAAAAAUAUAUUUACCAGCCCUCUAGUUGACCUAAAUAAUGUGUGAAAAGAAACAUUUAUUUCCAACUUUUCCUGAGUUGACCCGAAUUCACACCAUAUCUCCCUAAAAAGUGGUGUGCUGCCAUCUGGGAUCAGGCGGUAAUCUAUACUGAACAACAAUAUGAACGCACCAUACAACGCUUCCAACGAUUUGACUGAGUUACAGUUCAUAUGAGGAAACCAGUCAAUUGAAUCAAAUUCAUCAGGCCCUAAUCUGUGGAUUUCACAAGACUGGGAAUAGACAUAUACAUCUGUUGGUCACAGAUAUCCUUUAAUAAAAGGUAGAGGCGUGGAUCAGAAAACCAGUCAGUAUCUGGUGUGACCACCAUGUACCUCAUGCAGCGCGACACAUCUCCUUCACAUAGAGUUGAUCAGGCUGUUGAUUGUGGACUGUGGAAUGUUGUCCCACUCCUCUUCAAUGGCUGUGAAGUUGCUGGAUAUUGGCGGGAACUGGAACACGCUGUCGUACUUGUCGAUCCAGAGCAUCCCAAACAUGCUCAACGGGUGACAUGUCUGGUGAGUAUGCAGACCAUGGAAGAACUGGGACAUUUUCAGCUUCCAGGAAUCGUGUACAGAUCCUUGUGACAUGGGGCCGUGCAUUAUCAUGCUGAAACAUGAGGUGAUGGCGGUGGAUGAAUGGCAACGACAAUGGGGCCUCAGGAUCUCAUCACUGUAUCUCUGUGCAUUCAAAUUGCCAAAGAUAAAAUCCAACUGUGUUCGUUGUCCGCAGCAUAUGCCUGCCCAUACCAUAAACCCACCGCCACCAUGUUGCACUCUGUUCACAAUGUUGACAUCAGCAAACCGCUCGCCCACACGACGCCAUACAUGCUGUGUACCAUCUGUCUGGUACAGUUGAGACUGGGAUUCAUCCGUGAAGAGCACACUUCUCCAGCGUGCCAGUGGCCAGGUGAGCAUUUGCCCUCUGAAGUCGGUGACGACGCCGAACUGCAGUCAGGUCAAGACCCUGGUGAGGAAGACGAGCAGAUGAGCUUCCCUGAGAGUUUGUGCAGAAAAUCUUUGGUUGUGCAAACCCACAGUUUCAUCAGUUGUCUUGGAGGCAACCCGCAGGUGAAGAAGUCGGAUGUGGAGGUCCUGGGUUGGCAUGGUUACACGUGGUCUACGGUUGUGAGGCCGGUUGAAAGUACUGCCAAAUUCUCUAAAAUGUUGUUGGAGGCGGCUUAUGGUAGAAAAAGCAACAUUAAAUUCCUUGGCAAAAGCUCUGGUGGACAUUCCUGCAGUCAGCAUGCCAAUUGAUGGCUCCCUCAAAACUUGAGACGUGGCAUUGUCUUGUGUGACAAAACAGCACAUUUUAGAGUGGCCUUUUAUUGUCCCCAGCACAAGGUCCACCUGUGUAAUGAUUAUGCUGUUUAAUCAGCUUCUUGAUAUGCCACACCUGUCAGGUGGAUGGAUUAUCUUGGCAAAGGAGAAAUGCUCACUAACAGGAAUGUAAACAAAUUUGUGCACAACAUUUGAGAGAAAUCAGCUUUUUAUACGUAUGGAACGUUUCUGGGAUCUUUUAUUUCAGCUCAUGAAACAUGGGACCAACACUUUCCAUGUUGCGUUUAUAUUUUUGUUCAGUGUAGCGUUGGAAAUGAUUACAUGUCAAUUGUUUAUUUUGACCAUAGCUCACACACUGUAUAGCCCAAAACGACUGGUUAGGCAUCCCGGAUUCUAGAUUUGCCUUCAGUGACGGGAAAGGUUUAUUGGAAAUAGGUCAACCAGAGGUCUGUUUAAAUGUGUUUUUCGGGGGAACUGGGAUGUCGCCAUCAGCAACGAGAGAUCUAUGUGCAGUAUAGGUCUCCCAGAGAGAAGAGCACUAACUAGGGAAUAGGGUGCAUCCAUCCUUCUAUAGAGCCUCCCACAGUAUCCUACAGUAUACUACAGCAUCCUACAGCAUCCUACAGCAUCCUACAGCAUCCUACAGCAUCCUAGAGCAUCCUACAGCAUCCUACAGUAUCCUACAGCAUCCCACGGCAUCCUACGGUAUCCUAUGGUAUCUUACGGUAUCCUACGGCAUCCUACAGUAUCCUACAGCAUCCUACAGUAUCCUACAGCAUCCUACAGCAUCCAACGGUAUCCUACGGUAUGCUACGGUAUGCUACCGUAUCCUACAGCAUCCUACGGUAUCCUACAGCAUUCUACAGUAUCCUACAGCAUCCUACAGUAUCCUACAGCAUCCUACAGUAUCCUACAGCCUCCCACGAUAUCCUACAGCAUCCUACGGUAUUCUACAGCAUCCUACAGCAUCCUACAUCAUUCUACAGCAUCCUACGGUAUCCUACAGUAUCCUACAGCAUCCUACGGUAUCCUACGGUAUCCUACGGCAUCCUACGGUAUCCUACGGCAUCCUACGGUAUCCUACGGCAUCCUACGGUAUCCUACGGUAUCCUACGGUAUCCUACGGUAUCCUACGGCAUAGAUAUCUGGAAAACAAACAUUCCAAUGUGCAGUCAACGGCCUUCCGCUUAAGAAUACUCUCUCACUCCAAGCCUCUCUCCACCCCCCCUCUCUCUGUCUCUCUGUCUCUCUCUCUCACUCCAAGCCUUUCUCCACCCCCCC